GUAUCCCACAGCAGAUGGUGUGAAUGUGUGUCACCGGAGGCAUAUGGGGUGAUGGCAAAACCAACAAUGGUGUCCAGGCAUGUGCCCGGUGGAAAGGGGGAACAAGUGGCCUUUCCCUGAGUGCCAAGGGAAUUCAAAGAAGACCUGGGAACCUGGACGGGGCCUUUGCCUCAGUCCAAGCCACAUUUUGAAAUGCCUGCCAGAGGAGCACAGAGGUUUCUGCAACAUUCACCCCACCCCGAAGCCUCCACCGCCCAGAGACGAGGUCUCACUAUAUUGCCCAGGCUGGUCUUGAACUCCUGGCCUUAAGCGAUCCUCCUGCCUUGGCCUCCCAAAGUGCUGGAGUUACAGAUGUGAGCCUCUGUGCUCAGCCCAUCCUUGGCUGUUCAAGUGUAGAGCCAAGAAUGUUAAGGAACGUGGACACAAAGGAUGAGGUUGGAACAGAAGUUUAAUAUGCAAAAGAAGAAAGCUCUCCCCAGCGGAGAGGGGACCCGAAAGAGGGUUGCCAACUAGAAGGCUGAAUCUGGGGGUUUUGUGAACUGGGAAGGGGAAGAAUGUGCUCACUAGUCUGUGACCUGUCUUGGAGAAAGCACAACUUCGCUUGGCCCGGGACCUUAGCUUGGGACCAACCAGAGGCUGAAGUGAAAUUUUGGCCCAAGACCAAGCAGGGGCUGAAGUGAAAGUUUGGCCCAGGACCAAUCAGGGGCUGAAGUGAUGAUUCAUAGAGGCUCGGCUCACAGUCCAAAGCAUGUCCAGAAAAGGAAAGUGGUCACCAGAGCCUGUUAGUCCAAGCUGCACCGAUUUGUAAGCCCCCACCAUUUCACAGACCCUGGUCAGAGGGAAACAUUCCACUGGGGUUUGGGCUGCGAGAAACAUCCUCCCCAACCGCCUGACUUCCUUAUCACAUCCUGCUGGGGAAAGGCCCAAGAAACAUCCUUAUCAACAUGCUCCCAGGCAACAAGCUAUACUGCCCAGAUCCCUCCUGCCCAGGCCUAUAAUUACUCCAGCCUGUAAGCGGCAGUGGGCUCUGGCAUUUAGUUGGUCCCCUCCAUAGAGCUGCCAACUCUCUCUCUUUCUUUAACCUUCACCUUCCCUUCAAAAUCUAACAGAGCCCACCAUAUACAUGCCCACAAAAAAGCGACUAUUUCCUGGAAGCCCACUGGUCACACAAAGGACAAAGGCAUUUCUAUGUUGGGCCUCGGUCCCCUAUCAAUGCAGCUGAGGAAUGUCUUUAGGACAACCCCCUUUGCUAGUUUUCCUUCUCUGUGCCUGCAGCCUGAUUUUUCAGGCUGUUUCUCUGUUGAAAGGAGUUUUACCAAGGACCCGCUCUAACUCCCUAAAGGGUUUUUUCUCUCAAGGGGACACACAAAUUUCCAAUCGCACACAUGCCUCCCUAUAUCCACUUACCCUCUGCCUCACAGCCAAUCACACUCUCCUCUCUCACACAGACCACGGGGCCACACAAGUUGCACCUGCACAGCCACAGACCUGCAACUCAUGCACACACAGUACUGCACACACACGCAAAGUCACACACCCACCUUGGGACACGCAGCCCCCACUACACAGUCACCGGUUGUCCACAUCCGCACACACAGCGCGGCUCGUCCAGGACACACACAUCCACUCCGAGCGCGCACAGUCACAAGCGCCCACCUGAUCACCCAGAGUCAGCACCACACAGCCACAGUCACAGACCACGAAGACCCACGGCAACCAUGGCAAUCACACACGCAAACUCCUCUCCUCAGCCCUCCACACACAAAAGGACCAGAGCCGGAUUCCUCAUCCUCAGCUUUCUCUAGUUCCGCUCGGGGCCGGCCUGGCCAAGUUACUCCGGACUCCAAGGCGUGGCAGCAGCUAAUUGGGCACAGCGAAAGAUUCUGCCACCUGGCUAAGAGGAAGCCAAAAUCUCGCGAGACAUGGUAUUGGCCCGCAGAAUCCUCCGGGAAAUGUAGUCCAGAGCCCGACUGCUCCCCUGCUAAAAAUACAAAAAUUAGC